UACGUAGGGUGCGGGCGUUAAUCGGAAUUACUGGGCGUAAAGCGUGCGCAGGCGGUUUCUUAAGUCAGAUGUGAAAGCCCCGGGCUUAACCUGGGAACUGCGUUUGAAACUGGGAGACUUGAGUGUGGCAGAGGGGGGUGGAAUUCCACGUGUAACAGUGAAAUGCGUAGAUAUGUGGAGGAACACCAAUGGCGAAGGCAGCUCGCUGGGACGGUACUGACGCUAAGGCGCGAAAGCGUGGGGAGCGAACAGG
rnacentral:rRNA from 1 species